rnacentral:rRNA from 1 species
GAUGAACGCUGGCGGCGUGCUUAACACAUGCAAGUCGAACGGAAAGGCUCCUGCUUGCCGGGGUACUCGAGUGGCGCACGGGUGUGUAACACGUGGGCGAACCGCCCUGCACUUCGGGAUAAGCCUGGGGAACUGGGUCUACUACCGGAUCGGACCACAUUUUGGCGGGGGAGGUGGAAAGGUUUUCGGUGUGGGAUGGGCGCGCGGCCUAUCAGUUUGUUGGGCGGGUAAUGGCCUACCGAGGCGUCGACGGGUAACCCGCCUGGGGGGGGGUACGGCCACAAUGGGACUGAGAGACGGACCAGAGUCCAACGGGAGGCAGCAGUGGGGAAUAUUGCACAAUGGGCGCGAGCCUGAUGCAGCGACGCUGCGUGGGGGAUGACGGCCUUCGGGUUGCGAACUCCGUUCGCUAGGGACGACGCGCAGGUGACGGUACCUGGAGAAGAAGCACCGGCUAACUACGUG